rnacentral:rRNA from 1 species
GGGGAAUUUUCCGCAAUGGGCGCAAGCCUGACGGAGCAAUACCGCGUGAGGGAAGAAGGCUUUUGGGUUGUAAACCUCUUUUCUCAGGGAAGAAGCAAUGACGGUACCUGAGGAAUCAGCAUCGGCUAACUCCGUGCCAGCAGCCGCGGUAAUACGGAGGAUGCAAGCGUUAUCCGGAAUUAUUGGGCGUAAAGCGUCCGCAGGUGGCUAGUCAAGUCUGCGGUCAAAGACAGAAGCUAAACUUCUGGAGGGCCCUGGAAACGGGCAAGCUAGAGUACGGUAGGGGUAGAGGGAAUUCCCAGUGUAGCGGUGAAAUGCGUAGAGAUUGGGAAGAACACCAGUGGCGAAAGCGCUCUACUGGGCCUGUACUGACACUGAGGGACGAAAGCUAGGGGAGCGAAAGGGAUUAGAUACCCCUGUAGUC